CUUCCAAACUGUGACUUAAAACAGUGUGGCUCCGACUGGCAAUACAGGGGAUGCCUCUGUUGCUCUGCAAUUUUGGUGCAGUACUGACUUUGACUGCUGCUUUCUGAGAAAAUGAGACGAAAGAAGGAAAAGAGGUGGUCUUCCAAAAUGAUGGGAUAAACACAGCACAACAAGUACAUCUGAUCAUCCACAGACUUACCUGAGUAAUAAUCAGACUUUUCCAGCCCAUACCUUUGCCUAUUGGAAAAUUCAAUUUCUACUUUGGAGAGAAAAAUAUCAGGGUUGCUCAGAUCCGGUUAUGUUCUACUCAUCAUCUUCCAUACAUACUUUCCACACAACCAUAAAAACCUUAUCCA
rnacentral:lncRNA from 1 species